CAAUAGCGUAUAUUAAAGUUGUUGCAGUUAAAAAGCUCGUAGUUGGAUUUCUGAUCGAGACAUCAGGUCGGGUCCGAGAGGAUCAUGUACUUUGAUUUUGUUUUGAUCAUCCUUGGGGAGAGCAUUUCUGGCAUUCAGUUGUCGGGAUUGGGAUCCUCAUCGUUUACUGUGAAAAAAUUAGAGUGUUCAAAGCAGGCCUCGGCCUCUGAAUACAUUAGCAUGGAAUAAUAAGAUAGGACUUUGGUGGUCUAUUUUGUUGGUUUGCACGCCAAAGUAAUGAUUAAUAGGGAUAGUUGGGGGUAUUCGUAUUCAAUUGUCAGAGGUGAAAUUCUUGGAUUUAUGGAAGACGAACUACCGCGAAAGCAUUUACCAAGGAUGUUUUCAUUAA
rnacentral:rRNA from 1 species